UUAACACAUGCAAGUCGAACGAUGAAGCCUAGCUUGCUGGGUGGAUUAGUGGCGAACGGGUGAGUAACACGUGAGUAACCUGCCCUUAACUCUGGGAUAAGCCUGGGAAACUGGGUCUAAUACCGGAUAGGAGCGCCCACCGCAUGGUGGGUGUUGGAAAGAUUUAUCGGUUUUGGAUGGACUCGCGGCCUAUCAGCUUGUUGGUGAGGUAAUGGCUCACCAAGGCGACGACGGGUAGCCGGCCUGAGAGGGUGACCGGCCACACUGGGACUGAGACACGGCCCAGACUCCUACGGGAGGCAGCAGUGGGGAAUAUUGCACAAUGGGCGCAAGCCUGAUGCAGCGACGCCGCGUGAGGGAUGACGGCCUUCGGGUUGUAAACCUCUUUCAGUAGGGAAGAAGCGAAAGUGACGGUACCUGCAGAAGAAGCACCGGCUAACUACGUGCCAGCAGCCGCGGUAAUACGUAGGGUGCGAGCGUUAUCCGGAAUUAUUGGGCGUAAAGAGCUCGUAGGCGGUUUGUCGCGUCUGUCGUGAAAGUCCGGGGCUUAACCCCGGAUCUGCGGUGGGUACGGGCAGACUAGAGUGCAGUAGGGGAG
rnacentral:rRNA from 1 species